GGUGGCUCAGUGGUAGAGAGCUUGCCUUUCAUGCGUGAGGCCCUGGGUUCGAUUCCCCAGCACCA
rnacentral:tRNA from 1 species